rnacentral:piRNA from 1 species
CAUAUGGUAAUUCUUAGGUUUUUGAGGUACU